rnacentral:rRNA from 1 species
CCUACGGGGGGCAGCAGUGAGGAAUAUUGGUCAAUGGCCGUAAGGCUGAACCAGCCAAGUCGCGUGAAGGAAGAAGGAUCUAUGGUUUGUAAACUUCUUUUAUAGGGGAAUAAAGGUAUCCACGUGUGGAUUUUUGCAUGUACCCUAUGAAUAAGCAUCGGCUAACUCCGUGCCAGCAGCCGCGGUAAUACGGAGGAUCCGAGCGUUAUCCGGAUUUAUUGGGUUUAAAGGGUGCGUAGGUUGUUUUUUAAGUCAGCGGUGAAAGUUUGUGGCUCAACCAUAAAAUUGCGGUUGAAACUGGAAGACUUGAGUGUGUUUGAGGUAGGCGGAAUGCGUGGUGUAGCGGUGAAAUGCAUAGAUAUCACGCAGAACUCCGAUUGCGAAGGCAGCUUACUAAGCCAUAACUGACACUGAAGCACGAAAGCGUGGGGAUCAAACAGGAUUAGAUACCCCGGUAGUC